rnacentral:rRNA from 1 species
CACGUAGGGGGCGAGCGUUGUCCGGAUUUAUUGGGCGUAAAGAGCUCGUAGGUGGUUCGGUAAGUCAGGUGUGAAAACUCUGGGCUCAACUCAGAGACGCCACCUGAUACUGCUGUGACUUGAGUCUGGUAGGGGAGUGUGGAAUUCCCGGUGUAGCGGUGAAAUGCGCAGAUAUCGGGAGGAACACCAGUGGCGAAGGCGGCACUCUGGGCCAGUACUGACACUGAGGAGCGAAAGCGUGGGUAGCGAACAGG